GGAAUAUUGGGCAAUGGAGGCAACUCUGACCCAGCGACGCCGCGUGCGGGAUGAAGGCCUUCGGGUUGUAAACCGCUUUCAGUAGGGAAGAAGCGAAAGUGACGGUACCUACAAAAGAAGCACCGGCUAACUAUGUGCCAGCAGCCGCGGUAAUACAUAGGGUGCAAGCGUUGUCCGGAAUUAUUGGGCGUAAAGAGCUCGUAGGUCGUUUGUUACGUCGGAUGUGAAAACCUGAGGCUCAACCUCAGGCCUGCAUUCGAUACGGGCAAACUAGAGUUUGGUAGGGGAGACUGGAAUUCCUGGUGUAGCGGUGGAAUGCGCAGAUAUCAGGAGGAACACCAAUGGCGAAGGCAGGUCUCUGGGCCAAUACUGACACUGAGGAGCGAAAGUCUGGGGAGCGAACAGGAUUAGAUACCCUGGUAGUCCAGACCGUAAACGGUGGGCACUAGUUGUGGGAACCUUCCACGGUUUCUGCGACGCAGCUAACGCAUUAAGUGCCCCGCCUGGGGAGUACGAUCGCAAGAUUAAAACUCAAAUGAAUUGACGG
rnacentral:rRNA from 1 species